AUUCGCGGCCUAUCAGCUUGUUGGUGGGGUGAUGGCCUACCAAGGCGACGACGGAUAGCCGGCCUGAGAGGGUGAUCGGCCACACUGGGACUGAGACACGGCCCAGACUCCUACGGGAGGCAGCAGUGGGGAAUCUUGCGCAAUGGGCGGAAGCCUGACGCAGCAACGCCGCGUGAGGGAUGACGGCCUUCGGGUUGUAAACCUCUUUCGCGAUCGACGAAGGCCCGGUUUUUGCCGGGUUGACGGUAGGUCGAGAAGAAGCACCGGCCAACUACGUGCCAGCAGCCGCGGUAAUACGUAGGGUGCGAGCGUUGUCCGGAAUUAUUGGGCGUAAAGAGCUCGUAGGCGGUGUGUCGCGUCGGCCGUGAAAACCUGGGGCUUAACUCUGGGCGUGCGGUCGAUACGGGCAUCACUAGAGUUCGGCAGGGGAGACUGGAAUUCCUGGUGUAGCGGUGAAAUGCGCAGAUAUCAGGAGGAACACCGGUGGCGAAGGCGGGUCUCUGGGCCGAUACUGACGCUGAGGAGCGAAAGCAUGGGUAGCGAACAGGAUUAGAUACCCUGGUAGUCCAUGCCGUAAACGUUGGGCGCUAGGUGUGGGGUCCAUUCCACGGGUUCCGUGCCGCAGCUAACGCAUUAAGCGCCCCGCCUGGGGAGUACGGAAU
rnacentral:rRNA from 1 species